CCCAUCCACACAUCCAAUCCAAUCCUCUCAAACACAUCAUUGCAAAGCUUGUACUCCGCUUCAAACAAAUGUUUCACUGCAAACUCCAAAUGCUUGCCCCACUGAGCUAUAUAGCCCUCUAUGCUCUGCACAUCAUUGAAUUCAGCUAUGGAGAUCUCAAGAUAAUCCAAAUCAAGAGCCUGCAAACUGGCUCUAACAUUUGAACCACGUACUUCAACAUAGAUUGAUAUGCACCUUUCAAGCCUAUUAUUAACAAUCAACCGCCCAAGAAUUGCUUGCAACUUCUGAAUGACAGUUACAGGUAACGGUGAUGGUGCAAUUACUGCCUGUUGGCCCAGGGAUGAAGGGGAAGACAUUGGAAGUGGCACACUGUGUUCUGAUAACAGCCGUCGAAACUCGCCUUCCAAUUUAUCCAAGGCAGCAUCUAAAAGUCCACCGUCAAGGCGAGCCUUUUGAUCAUCACUUUGCAAUUCCCUAAGACUCUUCAAUGACUUCUUCAAAUUGGUAAGAA
rnacentral:misc_RNA from 1 species